GCAGGGGCUUGGGCAGGAGCAAGGUCCGAGGGCUGCCAGGUCCACGCUGCUUUUAUGAGCUGUAACACUCACCGCGAAGAUCUGCAGCUUCACUCCUGAGCCCAGCGAGACCACGAGCCCACCGGGAGGAGCGGACAACUCCAGACGCACCACCUUAAGAGCUGUAACACUCACCGCGAAGGUCUGCAGCUUCACUCGUGAGCCCAGCAAGACCACGAGGACACCGGAAGGAAGAAACUCCGAACACAUCUGAACAUCAGAACGAACAGACUCCAGACGCACCACCUUAAGAGCUGUAACACUCACCGCGAGGUUCCGCGGCUUCAUUCUUGAA
rnacentral:lncRNA from 1 species